rnacentral:rRNA from 1 species
GACGAACGCUGGCGGCGUGCUUAACACAUGCAAGUCGAACGGAAAGGCCCUGCUUUUGUGGGGUGCUCGAGUGGCGAACGGGUGAGUAACACGUGAGUAACCUGCCCUUGACUUUGGGAUAACUUCAGGAAACUGGGGCUAAUACCGGAUAGGAGCUCCUGCUGCAUGGUGGGGGUUGGAAAGUUUCGGCGGUUGGGGAUGGACUCGCGGCUUAUCAGCUUGUUGGUGGGGUAGUGGCUUACCAAGGCUUUGACGGGUAGCCGGCCUGAGAGGGUGACCGGCCACAUUGGGACUGAGAUACGGCCCAGACUCCUACGGGAGGCAGUAGUGGGGAAUAUGGCACAAGGGGCGGAAGCCUGAUGCAGCAACGCCGCGUGCGGGAUGACGGCCUUCGGGUGGUAAACCGCUUUCGCCUGUGACGAAGCGUGAGGGACGGGAAUGGGGAAAGAAGCACCGGCGAACUACGG